rnacentral:rRNA from 1 species
AUUGAACGCUGGCGGCAGGCUUAACACAUGCAAGUCGAGCGGAGAUGAGGUGCUUGCACCUUAUCUUAGCGGCGGACGGGUGAGUAAUGCUUAGGAAUCUGCCUAUUAGUGGGGGACAACAUUCCGAAAGGAAUGCUAAUACAGCAUACGCCCUACGGGGGAAAGCAGGGGAUCUUCGGACCUAGCGCUCAUAGCUGAGCCGAAGUCAGAGUUGCUAGUUGGUGGGGUAAAGGCCUACCAAGGCGACGAUCUGUAGCGGGUCUGAGAGGAUGAUCCGCCACACUGGGACUGAGACACGGCCCAGACUCCUACGGUAGGCAGCAGUGGGGAAUAUUGGACAAUGGGCGGAAGCCUGAUCCAGCCAUGCCGCGUGUGUGAAGAAUGCCUUUUGGUUGUAAAGCACUUUAAGCGAGGAGGAGGCUACCUGGAUUAAUACUCUAGGAUAGUGGACGUUACUCGCAGAAUAAGCACCGGCUAACUCUGUGCCAGCCGCCGCAGUAAUAC